UAACCUGCCCAAGAGAUCGGGAUAACACCUGGAAAUAGAUGCUAAUACCGGAUAACAACAGAUGAUGCCUAUCAACUGUUUAAAAGAUGGUUCUGCUAUCACUCUUGGAUGGACCUGCGGUGCAUUAGCUAGUUGGUAGGGUAACGGCCUACCAAGGCGAUGAUGCAUAGCCGAGUUGAGAGACUGAUCGGCCACAUUGGGACUGAGACACGGCCCAAACUCCUACGGGAGGCAGCAGCC
rnacentral:rRNA from 1 species